CAUCUUAGUGGCGAACGGGUGAGUAACGCGUAAUCAACCUGCCCUUCAGAGGGGGACAACAGUUGGAAACGACUGCUAAUACCGCAUACGAUCUAACCUCGGCAUCGAGGAAAGAUGAAAGGUGGCCUCUAUUUAUAAGCUAUCACUGAAGGAGGGGAUUGCGUCUGAUUAGCUAGUUGGAGGGGUAACGGCCCACCAAGGCGAUGAUCAGUAGCCGGUCUGAGAGGAUGAACGGCCACAUUGGGACUGAGACACGGCCCAGACUCCUACGGGAGGCAGCAGUGGGGAAUCUUCCGCAAUGGACGAAAGUCUGACGGAGCAACGCCGCGUGAGUGAUGACGGCCUUCGGGUUGUAAAGCUCUGUUAAUCGGGACGAAAGGCCUUCUUGCGAACAGUUAGAAGGAUUGACGGUACCGGAAUAGAAAGCCACGGCUAACUACGUGCCAGCAGCCGCGGUAAUACGUAGGUGGCAAGCGUUGUCCGGAAUUAUUGGGCGUAAAGCGCGCGCAGGCGGAUCAGUCAGUCUGUCUUAAAAGUUCGGGGCUUAACCCCGUGAUGGGAUGGAAACUGCUGAUCUAGAGUAUCGGAGAGGAAAGUGGAAUUCCUAGUGUAGCGGUGAAAUGCGUAGAUAUUAGGAAGAACACCAGUGGCG
rnacentral:rRNA from 1 species